rnacentral:rRNA from 1 species
UCCAAAUUUGAAAUCUGGCGUCCUACGGGCGUCCGAGUUGUAAUUUGAAGAUGGUAACUUUGGGUUUGGCUCUUGCAUAAGUUCCUUGGAACAGGACGUCAUAGAGGGUGAGAAUCCCGUUCAUGGUAAGAUGCCCAUUCCUUUGUAAAGUGCCUUCGAAGAGUCGAGUUGUUUGGGAAUGCAGCUCUAAGUGGGUGGUAAAUUCCAUCUAAGACUAAAUAUUGGCGAGAGACCGAUAGCGAACAAGUACAGUGAUGGAAAGAUGAAAAGAACUUUGAAAAGAGAGUGAAAAAGUACGUGAAAUUGUUGAAAGGGAAGGGCUUGAAGUCAGACUUGGUAUUCAGUGAUCAACUGUCUUUCGGGACUGUGCACUCGCUGUUUACUGGGCCAACAUCGGUUUUGGCGGCGAGAUAAAUGCAUUGGAACGUGGCUCUAUCUUCGGGUGGAGUGUUAUAGCCUUUGUAAAUAUCGCCAGCUGGGACCGAGGACUGCGCAUCUGCUAGGAUGUUGGCGUAAUGACUUUAAGCCACCCGUCUU